UAAGUCAGCUGAUACUAAUCCCAUGCCUACUGGAAUCAACCCUCACAACACAGCAUGGUAUGUAUGAAUCAUUCCCGCGUUGAUGGGUAUUGAGGUUAUUCCUCCAUGCACACACACAAUGCUAUUAUUAUAAACCAGGCCACAGCGAACAUCCCCAUACAUAUGUGCCUUCAAGUAUGCAUGUUUAUUUCUGCAGCAUACACCCCUCAAAUGAGGAUGUUGCCAAAUCACUUUCCUUUGCUCUUAAAUCUGUCUUUAGUGUCUUCUUUUCUCUGUAUUUCAGGAGGAUGGGGGACCCACUGUGCAGCAUUGCUGUGCUCCGAGGCUCACAUUCCUGUUAGAGUUCUGCUGUACUCACUACAGAUCCCACCAAGUGCGCUCCCUUCCCUCUGCACCUGCUCUGGCACCCCACUGGCUUCUGGCUUUCUGUGUCUUGAUUCUCCUACCAUCUUCCUUCCAGCCAUAAGAAAUGCGAUUACUUCUUCUGGGGUCAGGGCUCUCCGCACAAUGAAAGGGUUUAUUUCUCUGAGGCAGUUCUAUUAUUUUGAAAGAACAGUGUUACCUGUGUUAGGAACAGAUACCAACAUAACCCACAGGCAUAAGCCUAAGGAAACAAAAAAAAUCUCCUACUUAAGGUGCGGUAACAGAUGAAUCCUGAAUCUCACUGGCUUCAUUUAAGAAGAAUUCAGUUCCUCUCUUCUGUAGCCUAACUGGCUGCAGUGGGCAGCUCUCCUCCAGGCCUUGCUCAGUGAUGCAAGUUCCUUCCAUUUCGUGCCUUUCUCCUCCUCUAGGGCUUUAAGCCUCUGACCAGCUGGCAGAUGGAGAGAGAGGGAAGAUGACCGCAUUGGGGGUUUUAUGACCAAGUUGGAAUGUGGAGCAGAUUCUGGGGGUUUUAAGAUAUAUCCAAAAAAUUCUCUGAUAGUCUUUCCCUCAAAGGUGAAGCUUAAUUCUCUUCCCCUUAGAGGGUGUGCUGGACUUAGUGACUCACUUCUAACAAAUAGAAUUCAGAAGUGAUAGUCAGUUUCAAGAUGCAGCUAUACAAAGUCUGCAGCUUUUGACAUAGGUGCUGUCAGUCUCUCUCAGCUCUGGGGGAAUCCAGGUCCUGAAGAAGCCCAGGCGGCAAGGACCUGGGCAAAGAACUGACACCCUGCCCGAGCCAGGCGAGUGAUCUUGAUUGCAGAACCUCCGGUCUCAAUCAAAUCUUCAGAGACUACAGCCCCAGCCAACAGGUAAGCUGCAACCCUGUGAGCGACGCUGAACCAGAACCACCCAUGAAGGCGCUUCUGGGUUCCAGACUCUCAGAAACUGUGAGAUAAUUAUUCGUUGUUUAGACCUGUUAACUUUUGGGAUCAUUUAUUACACAGCAACAGAUAAGCAAUACCCUUUUUCUGCCUGCAUCUUAUUGGCCAGAAUUCAGUCACAUGGUCACACCUAACUGCAAGAGAGGCUGGGAAAUAUAGUCUAGCUGUGUUUCCAAGAGGAAAGGAAAAUGGGUUUGGUGAACAGCUAACCUGCAUGUGCUACUCUGGGGAUUUCUCUCCCACUGGCAGAAACAGCACCCAGAUGUCCCCAACUGCCAGGAAGGAGGCCUCCUCCCUUUCCUCCCUCCAGCUUCCCUCCCCCCUGCACCCCAAGGAGGCUGGGCUUAAGCACGCCUGGAAGAGGUCAGAAACAUGGUCCAAGCUGUGAGCGUGACCGCAGUGCACCUGAGCGAGGGGGAACCACACACACUGGAUGUCCAUGGACAGGACUGGGCCGGGAAGUCAGGGUGGGAAACUCUCCUGGCCGCACCUGGGAGCCAGUAAGGGCCACCUGAAUAGAAGAGAAUGCUGGUGACUUAUGGUUCUAGUUUACAAGACUUCCCUUGAAUGCAUUCUGUUGAUUUUUACCAUAGCCCUUGUUAAGAUUGGUAAAACAGCUAAUACUAUA